rnacentral:lncRNA from 1 species
CUUGACCUAUCUACUACAAGAUGGUGGGUUAAAUAGAUUGGUUCACUUGACUCACUUAAUUACAACUUUUAUAAAAUAAAAAAAAUUACAAAUUUGUUGUAAUUCAAAUCUAAAUAAAAUUCACUCCCAAAAUGAUGUUAAACUCAAGACAAUUCAAAAUAAUAAAGAAAGUACAAAAUAAUCUUUCUUGGUAUAAGUGAUGGUGAGUGAGGAGAGUAUUUUUUAGGAUUUCAAGAUAAUAAAUUAAUAAAAUAAAAUUAACUGGGUUGGUGAGCCAACCCGACUCAUCACAGGUUCAACCCGGAUAUGUCGGGUUUAAAUGAGCCGGAUUGAAAAUUGACCCGCAUAAAAAAAUACAUUUUUCUCAAACUCAACCCGACCCGAACUCGUGGUGGGCCGGAUUGACUCGCAGGUUGUAACUCAUUUUAGAAUUGAUUACCUAAUUCUAAUAAUAUCACAAUAAAAAGACACUCCUGUUUGAAAGCUAUUUUAAUAUAUUUUUUAGGUUUAAACCUUUAGUUGUCCUUAUUUUCGUUGGAUUUUUCCAUUUUGAUCACAUUCUUUUAAAGUUCCCCAAUUGAGUCCUUAUAAAUGCUAAUUUGAAGCAAUUGAGCCCUUGCCGUUAAAUUUAGUUAACAAAGUUAAUUUUCUGCAUAGGUGGUGGGAUGACGUGUCUAGUUACUUAAACGUGGCAUAUUUAGAAGUGAAACUUGGCAUUUUCGCAACUUCUUAAAAUUGAAUAAUAUGUAAUUUCACUAUUAUCGUUACUGUUCUUUCUCUCCCAUCGCUCUUUCCAAAAACCUGAUUCUUUCAUCAUUCGUCGGAUCCGAAGAGAACUCUCUACGAUUCCGAUCUCACGAAAUAGAUCCGAUAGAGUGAAACUUCAAAUUUAGUUUUAGCACAGUUGUCGCACCCUAAAUCUCGAGAGAUUUCGAAGGACCCAAAUAUAAACCCUAAUUAAUCACUUUGCCGUAAAACUUUUUAGCCAUUUAGAUCGUGCGAUUCGUGGUGGUUUGUUUGUUGUUUGUCUCUGCUUUCUAUGGUUUUCAGAUCGUUGUUGGAUUGUCAGAAAUUAGGAAAUUGGAGAAGAUGGGUAAGGAGGUGGAGGAUGUGGAAGAGGGCGAGAUUUUAGAUACUGCUUCGGUGGAAGAGAUUUCAGAAACGAAUACGACACUGGAAGAAACGCCAGAGAAGUGGUAUAAAUGAAGAAACAUUUAGAAAGUAAUAAAACAAUACUCACAACAUGUAUAGACUAAAGAACAAAGAGUUUACCAUCAGGGCAAGUGUUGAUGUCCACACUUGAUGCAAGGUUUCUAGCAUGACCCGCACAUGUUGAUAUCAAAGACAUAUUUGACUUAGGGCUGGGCAAACUGAUCUGUACUGUACUGUAGUUAACUGUACUAUAUUGUACUAAAAAUAACUGAUCCAUUUCUAAUAACAGUGCAGUAUACUAUCUUAUGGUUCAGUUUUUAAAAACUGAACUUAUAACAGUUACAGUUCAGUUAACUGUGAGAACUGUAUCUACUCUUACAUCUUCU